rnacentral:rRNA from 1 species
UGGGGAAUAUUGCACAAUGGGCGAAAGCCUGAUGCAGCGACGCCGCGUGAGGGAUGACGGCCUUCGGGUUGUAAACCUCUUUCAGCAGGGAAGAAGCGAAAGUGACGGUACCUGCAGAAGAAGCGCCGGCUAACUACGUGCCAGCAGCCGCGGUAAUACGUAGGGCGCAAGCGUUGUCCGGAAUUAUUGGGCGUAAAGAGCUCGUAGGCGGUUAGCUCGCGUCUGCUGAAUGAAACUCGAGGCUCAACCUCGGGCUUGCAGUGGGUACGGGCUGACUAGAGUGCGGUAGGGGUGACUGGAAUUCCUGGUGUAGCGGUGGAAUGCGCAGAUAUCAGGAGGAACACCGAUGGCGAAGGCAGGUCACUGGGCCGCAACUGACGCUGAGGAGCGAAAGCAUGGGGAGCGAACAGGAUUAGAUACCCUGGUAGUCCAUGCCGUAAACGUUGGGCACUAGGUGUGGGUCCAUUCCACGGAUUCCGUGCCGCAGCAAACGCAUUAAGUGCCCCGCCUGGGGAGUACGGCCGCAAGGCUAAAACUCAAAUGAAUUGACGGGGUCAUAGCUGUUUCCU